rnacentral:rRNA from 1 species
AUGCAAGUCGAACGGUAACAGGUCUUCGGAUGCUGACGAGUGGCGAACGGGUGAGUAAUACAUCGGAACGUGCCCGAGAGUGGGGGAUAACGCAGCGAAAGCUGUGCUAAUACCGCAUACGAUCUACGGAUGAAAGCAGGGGACCCGCAAGGGCCUUGCGCGGACGGAGCGGCCGAUGGCAGAUUAGGUAGUUGGUGGGAUAAAAGCUUACCAAGCCGACGAUCUGUAGCUGGUCUGAGAGGACGACCAGCCACACUGGGACUGAGACACGGCCCAGACUCCUACGGGAGGCAGCAGUGGGGAAUUUUGGACAAUGGGCGAAAGCCUGAUCCAGCAAUGCCGCGUGCAGGAUGAAGGCCUUCGGGUUGUAAACUGCUUUUGUACGGAACGAAAAGACUCCUUCUAAUAAAGGGGGUUCAUGACGGUACCGUAAGAAUAAGCACCGGCUAACUACGUGCCAGCAGCCGCGGUAAUACGUAGGGUGCAAGCGUUAAUCGGAAUUACUGGGCGUAAAGCGUGCGCAGGCGGUUAUGUAAGACAGAUGUGAAAUCCCCGGGCUCAACCUGGGAAUUGCAUUAGUGACUGCAUAGCUAGAGUGCGGCAGAGGGGGAUGGAAUUCCGCGUGUAGCAGUGAAAUGCGUAGAUAUGCGGAGGAACACCGAUGGCGAAGGCAAUCCCCUGGGCCUGCACUGACGCUCAUGCACGAA